AGAAUCAACGCUGGCGGCGUGCCUAACACAUGCAAGUCGAACGCUCGGAGCAAUCCGGGAGUGGCAGACGGGUGAGUAACGCGUGGGAAUAUACCCUUCGGUUCGGAAUAACUUGGGGAAACUCAAGCUAAUACCGAAUACGGCCUAUGGGCGAAAGAUUGAUCGCCGAAGGAACAGCCCGCGUCCGAUUAGCUAGUUGGUGAGGUAAUGGCUCACCAAGGCGACGAUCGGUAGCUGGUCUGAGAGGAUGACCAGCCACAUUGGGACUGAGACACGGCCCAAACUCCUACGGGAGGCAGCAGUGGGGAAUAUUGGACAAUGGGCGCAAGCCUGAUCCAGCCAUGCCGCGUGAGUGAUGAAGGCCUUAGGGUUGUAAAGCUCUUUCGCACGCGACGAUAAUGACGGUAGCGUGAGAAGAAGCCCGGCUAACUCGUGCCAGCAGCCGC
rnacentral:rRNA from 1 species